UCAAGCUACUAAGGGUUUAUGAAGGAUGACUAGGUAGACUAAGGCGAUGAAGGACGUGGUAAGCAGCGAUAUGCUUCGGGGAGCCGCAAACAGGCUUUGAUCCGAAGAUCUCCGAAUGGGGCAACCCAUCUUGAGUCAUGUCAGGAUGUCUUACGCUGAAUACAUAGGCGUAAGAAGCGAAACGAGGUGAAUUGAAACAUCUAAGUAACCUCAGGAGAAGAAACCGUAAGGGAUUCCCCCAGUAGCGGCGAGCGAAAAGGGAACAGCCUAAACCUUGUUGCCUAGCAACAAGGGGUUGUGGGACCUUAACAUGAGACUUCGACGAAUAGAAAAAAUGUCUGGAAAGACAUACCAUAGAAGGUGAUAGUCCUGUAUUCGAAAUUUGAAAGAGCUCUAGAGGUAUCCCAAGUACUGCGGGGCACGGGAAAUCCCGCAGGAAUCUGGCCCGACCAUGGGCUAAGGCUAAAUACUCAAGUCUGACCGAAAGGGAACGAGUACCGUGAGGGAAAGUUGAAAAGAACCCCGGCGAGGGGAGUGAAAUAGAACCUGAAAUCAUAAACCUACAAGCUGUCGUAGGCCUAUGCAUAUCUUCGGAUAUGAAUGGCUGACGGCGUACCUUUUGCAUAAUGGACCGACGAGUUACUGCAUGUUGCAAGCUUAAGUUCUUUUGGAACGGAGGCGGAGCGAAAGCGAGUCUGAAUAGGGCAACAUAGUAGCAUGCAGUAGACCCGAAACCACGUGAUCUAUCCAUGGCCAGGUUGAAGCUCUGAGAAAUCAGAGUGGAGGACCGAACGCUCUAUAGUUGAAAAUAUAGGCGAUGAGCUGUGGAUCGGAGUGAAAGGCUAAUCAAACGUGGCAAUUGCUGGUUCUCCUCGAAAUAGUUCUAGGACUAGCCUCAGACAAUAAAUAACAGGGGUAGAGUUACUGAAUAGACUAGGCGCCUUACCGGGCGACCAACUCUAACCAAACUCCGAAUACUGUUAUUCGUACUCUGGGAGUAAGACGCUGAGGGCUAAGCUUCAGCGUCGAAAGGGUAAGAGCCCAGACCAUCGGUUAAGGUCCCAAAUAUAAGCUAAGUGGUAAAGGAAGUGGAGUCACAUAAACAACCAGGAUGUUGGCCCAGAGGCAGCCAUCAUUUAAAGAGUGCGUAACAGCUCACUGGUCGAGUGAUUCUGCGCCGAAAAUGAUCGGGGCUAAAGCUUAUAACCGAAGCCAUGGGUCUUUUCCGACUUAGGUCGGAAAGGGCGGUAGAGGAGCAUUCUGCUCGACAUUGAAGGUGUACCGCAAGGAGCACUGGAGAAAGCAGAAGAGACUAUGUCGGUAUGAGUAGCGCAAACUACGGCGAGAAACCGUAGCAUCGAAAAUCCAAGGUUUCCUGGGGAAGGUUAAUCCUCCCAGGGUUAGUCGAUCCUAAGUUGAGGCCGAAAGGCGUAAGCGAUGGAUGUCCGGUUAAUAUUCCGGAACCGGCUACGAACGUUAUUAACUUAAGAUGACGCAGAAGGCUAGGUGAGCGAAGUGUUGGAUGUCUUCGUCUAAACCUGUAGCUUUGUAGAAAUACAAGGUCAGAGGUUAUAGGGACCUAGCGGCACGCCAAAGGGGAAGUCACUGUUGCCAUACUGCCGAGAAAAGCUCUUAAGUGAGUAUCGUGGCCGAUCGUACCGUAAUCCAACACAGGUAGGUAGCCAGAAUAUGGUAAGAUGCUCGAGAUAACUCUCUUUAAGGAACUAGGCAAAAUAGCCUCGUAACUUCGGGAUAAGAGGUGCCUAUAAGAUGAAGUUCUUUACGAAUGGAGUCUUUUUAGGUCACAGUAAAGAUGCCCGGCUGACUGUUUAGUAAAAACACAUCACUCUGCAAAGUCGUAAGACGACGUAUAGGGUGUGACACCUGCCCGGUGCUAGAAGGUUAAGGGAAGGGGUUAUCCGUAAGGAGAAGCCUUGAACCGAAGCCCCAGUAAACGGCGGCCGUAACUAUAACGGUCCUAAGGUAGCGAAAUUCCUUGUGGGGUAAGUUCCCACGCGCACGAAUGGUGUAACAAGUUGGGCGCUGUCUCAAAGAGGGACUCGGUGAAAUUGUAGCAGCGGUGAAAAUGCCGCUUACCCGCACCAAGACGAAAAGACCCCAGAACCUUUACUGCAAUCUGGUAUUGAAUUUGAAGUCUGUCUGUGUAGGAUAGGUGGGAGACUGUGAAGGCAUGGCGUUAGCCGUGCUGGAGUCAUCGGUGAAAUACCACCCUUAUAGUUUUUAGAUUCUAACUUUGUCCUUUGAAUCAAGGUAAAGAACAGUUCCAGAUGGGCAGUUUGACUGGGGCGGUUCCCUUCUAAAACGUAACGACGGGGUCCAAAGGUCACCUCAAGACGGUCGGCAAUCGUCUGUAGAGUGCAAAGGCAUAAGGUGGCUUGACUGUGAGUCUGACAAGACGAACAGGUACGAAAGUAGGGCUUAGUGAUCCGGUGGUACAAAAUGGGAUGGCCAUCGCUCAACGAACAAUAGGUACUCUGGGGAUAACAGGCUGAUCGCGCUCGAGAGUUCAUAUCGACAGCGCGGAUUGGCACCUCGAUGUCGGCUUAUCGUAUCCUGGGGCUGUACAAGGUCCCAAGGGUCCGGCUGUUCGCCGGUUAAAACGGUACAUGAGCUGGGUUUAGAACGUCGUGAGACAGUUCGGUCUCUAUCUGGUGUGGGCGCACGAUAUUUGAAGAGGAUCUCUUCCUAGUACGAGAGGACCGGGAGAGACGAACCUCUGGUGUUCCAGUUAUCCUGCCAAGGGUAGUAGCUGGGUAGUCAUGUUCGGGAAAGAUAAGCACUGAACGCAUAUAAGUGCGAAGCUUACCUCAAGAUGAAAUAUCGUUCUCCGUAAGGAGUGAAGGCACCUUGUAGACUACGAGGUUGAUAGGCUGCAUGUGUAAGAUCCGCAAGGAUUUUAGCUGAGCAGUACUAAUCUGCCAAAUGCUUGACUAU
rnacentral:rRNA from 1 species